ensembl:piRNA 21ur-14782 ncRNA
UGGAGGUUCUAAUUCUAUUAA